GGGCGAUAGCAGUGAUAACGCGAGGAUUCGGCCAGUUCCCCCGAGGCGCUGUCCGGCCGUGCUUGUGUGCACCUGCCUACAGCCGUGUCGUACAUCUGUGUGUGUGUGAUGUGGAGCGCGGCGGUGGCGGCGCUGGCGCUGCUGGCGGCGCGCUGCGGCGCCGGGAACAUCACCGUCGUCUCGCAGCAGUUAACGUUCGACGACACUCAUGAGCUGGUAGUGAACUCGUCCGUCGAAUUCAUACUUUCGUUCGCUCCGAACCCGGCGCAGGGCCACCUGCCCAUCCGCGUGUGGGCGCAGACGCAGGGCGGCGACACCGCGCACCCGCUGCUGCUCACCGCGCGCCGCACCGUCGGCGCGUGGACGUGGCAGCUGCCGUACCGCUCGGGGCCGGCGCUGCUGCACGAGCUGCAGCGCACGCUGUGCCCCGACGACAGCGUCGACGUCGAGAGCCUCGGCGACGACUGCGAGGCGGAGGCGGGCGCGGCGGGCGUGGGCGCGCUGACGCUGCACGUGAGCUCGUCGUGCGCCGCGGCCGCGCGCGUGCGCCUGCGCGCCGCCUUCGUGCGCGACUGGCGCCUGCCCUUCCAGUCGUCCACGCCCGUGCAGCUGGCGCAGGGCGCGCCCAGCGUGCACGCCUACCGCUUCCCGCGCGACCAGGACCACGUGCGCCUCGUGGUCGACUCCGCCGACGACGUGUGCGCCACCGUCGCCGUGCAGGACUACUCCUGCCCGAUAGCGGAGACGUUGGAGGACAUAGAGAUCUCGUCGCUGCGCAUGACGGUCACGCGCUCCGGCGGCAUGCAGCUGUCGCGGCAGCGGUACCCGCGCGGGUUCUACGUGGUGGCGGUGGUGCACGCGAGCGACGCGGCGUGCCGGCCCGCGGCCGAGGACGACGACCCCGACUGGCUGUGGGGCGCCGCGCUGGCGGGCGAGGGCGACGCGCCGCCGCCGCACGCGCUGCCGCGCACCAAGGCGCUCACGCUGCACAUGCGCGCGGCGCUGACGCGCGCGCAGUACGCGGCGGGCGUGGGCGCCGCGCUGGCGCUGCUGGCGCUGCUGUACGCCGGCGUGGGCGCGCUGGUGCUGGCGCAGCGCCUGCCGCGCCUGCGCCCGCUCGUCGCGCCGCGCGCCGUGCUCGCCGACAAGCCUGAUGAAGCGACAAGAUCUGAAAUAGACAGCGCGAUGUCCAUGUCGCCGGGGCGCCGCCGCCGCCGCGACUCCACGGCCACGUUCGACAGCAGCGACAACAGCGACACCGACGAGGAGGAGGAGACCGGUACCGCCACCACCGACGUCACCGGCACGCGCUCGCCCACCGCCGCUGCCGUCACUACCGCCGCUGACGUCACCACUGCAGCUGACGUCACCACUACAGCAGACGUCACCAACGCCGCUGACGUCACCACUACAGCUAACGUCACGAACCCCGCUGACGUGACUAGCACAGCUGAGGCAGUUGAUGUCCACGCCGCCGGUAACGGCGAGACGGCGACUGUGGCGCCGCCGCCGCAGUACGCUGACGGCAGUGAGGCGGGCCCGCGCUCCGUCUAUGUCAUAGAGUCCGACCGAGCUCAGCCGACUGACAGCACGUCGCGGCCGUUCGGGCUGCCGCCGCGGCUGAACGUGGCGGCGCUGACGCGGCGGCGCGGGCGCGUGCUGGCGGCGCGCUCGGACCGCUACCUGUACACGCUGUAUACCGUGGGGCUGUUCUACGCGCUGCCCGUGCUGCAGUUCGUGGCCGCCUUCCAGGUGGUGCUCAACGUGACGGGCUCGCUGGACGUGUGCUACUACAACUUCCUGUGCGCGCACCCGCUGGGCGGGCUGUCGGACUUCAACCACGUGUUCUCCAACGUGGGCUACCUGGCGCUGGGCGCGCUGUUCAUGCUGCAGGUGCGGCGCCGCAAGCUGCGCCGCCGCCGCAAGCCGCGCCACGAGGAGUACGGCAUCCCGGCGCACUACGGGCUGCUGUCGUCGCUGGGCGCCGCCAUGAUGAUGGUGGCGCUGCUGUCCGCCAGCUACCACGUCUGUCCCAACGCGCUCAACUUCCAGUUCGACACGGCGUUCAUGUACGUGCUGGCGGUGCUGAGCAUGGUGAAGAUCUACCAGGCGCGCCACGCUGACGUCAACGCGCGCGCCCACGCCACCUUCGGCGUGCUCGCGCUGCUCAUCGCGCUCGUGGUGUGGGGCGUGGUGGGCGGCGGCCCGCUAUUCUGGAGCGUGUUCACCGUGCUGCACGUGUUCACCUUCCUGCUGCUGUCGCUGCGCAUCUACUACGUCGGACAAUUCCGCCUCGAGAAGCAGAGCGUGCAGGAGGCGGUGGCGGCGCUGCCGUCUCGCGGGCUGCGGCCGCUGUACGCGCCGCGCCUCGUCAUGCUGCUCAUCGCCAACGCCGUCAACUGGGGCUUCGCACUCUACGGAGACGUGGUGGCGCGCGCAGACUGUUCACGCAGAGCGCGGACUUCGCGGGGCACCUGCUGUCGGUGCUGCUGUGCAACACGCUGCUCUACAUGGUGUUCUACCUGAGCAUGAAGCUGCUGCACGGCGAGCGCCCGCGCUGGUACGCCUGGCUGUUCCUGGCCGCCGGCGCCGCCACCUGGAUGCCCGCGCUCUACUUCUUCGUGUCCGGCAGUUCCGACUGGUCGGCGACGCCGGCGCAGUCGCGCGAGCGCAACCACGAGUGCCGCGUGCUGCAAUUCUACGACUCGCACGACCUGUGGCACCUGCUGUCGGCGCUGGCGCUCUACUUCACGUUCAACGCGCUGCUCACGUGGGACGACGGGCUCGCCGCCGUCAAGCGCACCGACAUCGCUGUAUUCUAGACUUUACAAUAAACUAUUCAAACGAA